GUACUGCCCGUACCGCAAACCGACACAGGUAGAUGAGGAGAGAAUCCUAAGGUGAGCGAGAGAACUCUCGUUAAGGAACUCGGCAAAAUGACCCCGUAACUUCGGGAGAAGGGGUGCUCUAUUAGGGUGCAAGCCCGAGAGAGCCGCAGUGAAUAGGCCCAGGCGACUGUUUAGCAAAAACACAGGUCUCUGCAAAACCGUAAGGUGACGUAUAGGGGCUGACGCCUGCCCGGUGCUGGAAGGUUAAGAGGAGUGCUUAGCUUCGGCGAAGGUACGAAUUGAAGACCCAGUAAACGGCGGCCGUAACUAUAACGG
rnacentral:rRNA from 1 species